rnacentral:rRNA from 1 species
GGGAAACCGGAGCUAAUACCGGAUAAUAUAUUGAACCGCAUGGUUCAAUAGUGAAAGACGGUUUUGCUGUCACUUAUAGAUGGAUCCGCGCCGCAUUAGCUAGUUGGUAAGGUAACGGCUUACCAAGGCACGAUGCGUAGCCGACCUGAGAGGGUGAUCGGCCACACUGGAACUGAGACACGGUCCAG